GCCAUUUCUAUGCGGCACUGGAACAAGUUCCCUCUGCACAAAGUGACUGCAGAACACAAGCUAUAGUACAACGAACUCUACCAGCUUUACCCUUAACUCUCGCGAGAACUAACAUGUGGAGAAGCCCAAGGAAAGGCAAACGCAGUGACAGCUCUUGUGGAAUAUUAGUUUAAGCUCCAGCUUUCAACUUCAUUGUGUAUACUGUGCAUGUUCUUCAUCAAAAGCUCUUGCACACUAAGAAGCUUUCAGAGUAGUAAAAAAUGCCUCAGCGAUGGGAAUUUCAAAUCAAGUUCGAGGGUUCUACUGGAACAGGAAACUGUGAAGUUGCGCAGAAGCAUGGACAUCCCCCAUUCUGAAAUUCCUGGCACUCCUCACAAGAAGGUUUCUUGUUGUACAGACGUGGGGAACAUCAGAAACAACCAAACCACUGCAGUUCUGAUUUAACCUUUAAACCUGCUUCCCAAAUUACUUCCGGUAGCUUUUGAUCCCUGAAACAAUGUAAGCCCCCACUCUGCUAAAUGACCAAGGACUUCAUGCACUAAUCCUUGACCUUCUUUAUAGAUCUGUCAAUAAAGCA